AAAGAUACCGUGAAAAGAAAAACACAUCUGAUUUAAAAUCAUAUACUAAGAGUUCAAAUCUCUUUAUCCCUA
rnacentral:tRNA from 1 species